AUUGAACGCUGGCGGCAGGCCUAACACAUGCAAGUCGAGCGGAUGAAGGGAGCUUGCUCCUGGAUUCAGCGGCGGACGGAUGAGUAAUGCCUAGGAAUCUGCCUGGUAGUGGGGGAUAACGUCCGGAAACGGGCGCUAAUACCGCAUACGUCCUGAGGGAGAAAGUGGGGGAUCUUCGGACCUCACGCUAUCAGAUGAGCCUAGGUCGGAUUAGCUAGUUGGUGGGGUAAAGGCCUACCAAGGCGACGAUCCGUAACUGGUCUGAGAGGAUGAUCAGUCACACUGGAACUGAGACACGGUCCAGACUCCUACGGGAGGCAGCAGUGGGGAAUAUUUGACAAAGGGCGAAAGCCUGAUCCAGCCAUGCCGCGUGUGUGAAGAAGGUCUUCGGAUUGUAAAGCACUUUAAGUUGGGAGGAAGGGCAGUAAGUUAAUACCUUGCUGUUUUGACGUUACCAACAGAAUAAGCACCGGCUAACUUCGUG
rnacentral:rRNA from 1 species